GGAAACUGUAGCCUAGAGAGUUUGAGUGACUUGCUUAACAUUUCUCUGAGGAGAUUUCACAGUACUCAAGGUCUCUCCUAAGGAAAACAGUAGUUGAGUGUGGGAGAAGGUGGGAAUAACAUGUUUUCAUGAGAUAAGCGAGAAGAGCAAAGACGAGUUGGAGAAGACAGAUAAUUGAUUGAAUAUCAUAGAAAGUCCUGGAAAGAAUGGUAAAUGUCAACCAAUUCAAAUAGUUUUAACAGAUGAAGAAACAAGACCAGAGAGGUUACGUGCCUUAUCCAGGGUCACACAGAUAGUCAAUGUCAGAGAGAGGACUUAGACUCCUGGUUUCUCACUCGUAGCGCUUAACUUUUUUCAUUUCUCUCUGUAAAAUCAUCUCAAAUAGUCUGCCCUUUAUUUAAAAAGAGAUGAAGUGAGCAUCCGUAGAAGCCCAGAAGGUUGUAGAACAUAAAGCAGAUAGAAGAUCAGCUUCCUCUCUGACAAUGAUUUCCUGCAAAGAGUUGAGAUUAUUUUGGUUCAAUUAAAAUUACUAUGCUCCUUUUAUGAGAAAUAUAUUGAGAUAGGAGAUAAAUUGGUACCACAUAAGUAAAAAAAUUGGUGCUUUUCCUCCAUCUGUUCAUUCUUUUGUGGGAAGACACAAACACCCUGUCUUCUACUGACUGAUAAUCAUGAAAAGUGCUAAAUAAGAAGUAUAAAAGGGACUGAGAAUUUAAGGAAAAGAGAAUUUAAGAAUAUUUAGCAGGCAUUAGAUCCUUGUUAAAAAUCUAUAUUCUUGACUUUAAAAGGACUUUACUACUUGGAUAUGAUGAAAAUCAUUGAAAAUGAUUCUAAUUAAAGAUACAUCUGUCUUACAGAAGAUUUUAAAAUAGAUUAGCUUAUGGCCAAAUGUAUUUAUUUCUACCAUUAAUAUUGAUACUGUGGUUUUUGUUUAAUGCCUGUACACAGCUUUUACAUUGUAUAGUCUGUUUACACCCUAUAGAUCUAUCUCUAUGGUUUUCUUUCUUUUUUUUUCUUUUUUAUUUCACUAGGUGCCUUAUCUAUAAUUAUAAUAGAUACUCAAGAGAGAACUUGUUGACUUGAUGAAGAAAACAAGAAAAGAACUGCAGAACACUCGAUGACGUUUUACACUUUCUUACCCACUUCU
rnacentral:lncRNA from 1 species